UAAGUAAGACAGGCGAUCGCGGCUGCAAGUGCCGAAAGGCCGCAGACGAGGAAAGUCCGGGCUUCACAGGGCAGGAUGCCGGAUAACGUCCGGUGGAGGUGACUCCAAGGCCAGUGCAACAGAAAUAAACCGCCCGGGCAGAAACCUGAGAAGAAGAGCAGAAGAGCUUCUUUUCAGGUUUCUGCCCGGGUAAGGGUGGAAAGGCAGUGUAAGAGACUACCGCCUCUCUGGUAACAGGGAGGGCACAUGUAAACCCCAUCCGAAGCAAGACCGGAUAGAAGCAGUGUGGCGGCCCGUCACGCUUCAGGUUGGUCGCUUGAGCACGGCGGCGACGCUGUGCCUAGACAGAUGAUCGUCCACGACAUAACCCGGCUUAUCGUCUUGCUUAACAC
rnacentral:RNase_P_RNA from 1 species